GACCAGCAAUAGCUCAGUCAGUAGGGCACAAGCAUGAGACCCUUUAAUCUCAGGGUUGUGGGUUCGAGCCUCACAUUGGGCA